rnacentral:rRNA from 1 species
GACGAACGCUGGCGGCGUGCUUAACACAUGCAAGUCGAACGGAAAGGCCCUGCUUGCAGGGUACUCGAGUGGCGAACGGGUGAGUAACACGUGGGUGAUCUGCCCUGCACUUCGGGAUAAGCUUGGGAAACUGGGUCUAAUACCGGAUAGGAGCCAUCUCUAGUGUGGUGGUUGGAAAGUUUUUUCGGUGUAGGAUGAGCUCGCGGCCUAUCAGCUUGUUGGUGGGGUAAUGGCCUACCAAGGCGGCGACGGGUAGCCGGCCUGAGAGGGUGUACGGCCACAUUGGGACUGAGAGACGGCCCAGACUCCUACGGGAGGCACCAGUGGGGAAUAUUGCACAAUGGGCGCAAGCCUGAUGCAGCGACGCCGCGUGGGGGAUGAAGGCCUUCGGGUUGUAAACUCCUUUCGCUAGGGACGAAGCUUUUUUGUGACGGUACCUAGAGAAGAAGCACCGGCUAACUACGUG